AACGAACGCUGGCGGCAGGCUUAACACAUGCAAGUCGAGCGGCCCGCAAGGGCUGCGGCCUGCGGGUGAGGACCGCCGGGGAACGUACCCCUAGGAUUCGAACAACUCCGGGAGACUGGCGCCAGUACCGGAUAAGCCCUAACGCGGAAAGAUUUAACGAGGAAAGGGGGGCUCGUGGCUGAUUAGCUUGUUGGUGAGGCAACGGUUCACCAGGGGGAUGAUCAGUAUCUGGGCUGAGAGGAUGAGCGGACACACUGGGAUCGAGAAGCGGCCCGGACUCCUACGGGAGGGAGCAGUGGGGAAUAUUGGACAAUGGGGGCAAGCCUGAUCCAGCCAUGCCGGGUGAGUGAUGAAGGCCUUAGGGUUGUAAAGCUCUUUUGUCCGGGAAGAUAAUGACUGUACCGGAAGAAUAAGCCCCGGCUAACUUCGUG
rnacentral:rRNA from 1 species